rnacentral:rRNA from 1 species
UACGAAGGGUGCAAACGUUGCUCGGAAUCAUUGGGCGUAAAGCGCGCGUAGGCGGCUCGGAAAGUCGGUCGUGAAAUGCCGGGGCUCAACCCCGGGACUGCGUCCGAUACUCCCGAGCUGGAGGCAGGUAGGGGAGAUCGGAAUUCCUGGUGUAGCGGUGAAAUGCGCAGAUAUCAGGAGGAACACCGGUGGCGAAGGCGGAUCUCUGGGCCUUGCCUGACGCUGAGGCGCGAAAGCUGGGGGAGCGAACAGG